GAAACAUCUCAGUACCCACAGGAAGAGAAAACAACAUGUGAUUCCGUGAGUAGUGGCGAGCGAAAGCGGAUGAGGCUAAACCUGCAUCGUGUGAGACCUGGUAGGGGUUGCGGUGUGGGGGUUGUGGGUGUGUUUCGGACUCAGCUACCACUGGGUCGGGGAGUGAGAAAGUCGUGGUGUAGCCGAAGGGCCUGGGAUGGUCCGGCGUAGUGGGUGAGACCCCCGUAGGCGAAACAUUGCGGCCUCCUUGGAGACGCUACCCGAGUAGCACGGGGCUCGUGGAAUCUCGUGUGAAUCUGCCAGGACCACCUGGUAAGCCUAAAUACUUCCUGAU
rnacentral:rRNA from 1 species